UGGGGAAUAUUGCACAAUGGGCGCAAGCCUGAUGCAGCCAUGCCGCGUGUGUGAAGAAGGCCUUCGGGUUGUAAAGCACUUUCAGCGAGGAGGACGGGUAGUGUGUUAAUAGCACAUUGCAUUGACGUUACUCGCAGAAGAAGCACCGGCUAACUCCGUGCCAGCAGCCGCGGUAAUACGGAGGGUGCAAGCGUUAAUCGGAAUUACUGGGCGUAAAGCGCACGCAGGCGGUUUGUUAAGUCAGAUGUGAAAUCCCCGCGCUUAACGUGGGAACUGCAUUUGAAACUGGCAAGCUAGAGUCUUGUAGAGGGGGGUAGAAUUCCAGGUGUAGCGGUGAAAUGCGUAGAGAUCUGGAGGAAUACCGGUGGCGAAGGCGGCCCCCUGGACAAAGACUGACGCUCAGGUGCGAAAGCGUGGGGAGCAAACA
rnacentral:rRNA from 1 species